UACAGAGGUCCCAAGCGUUGUUCGGAUUCACUGGGCGUAAAGGGUGCGUAGGCGGUCGGGUAAGUCUGAUGUGAAAUCUCACAGCUUAACUGUGAAACUGCAUUGGAUACUAUUCGGCUUGAGAGUUGGAGGGGGGACUGGAAUUCUUGGUGUAGCAGUGAAAUGCGUAGAUAUCAAGAGGAACACCAGUGGCGAAGGCGAGUCUCUGGGAUGAUGCUGACGCUGAGGCGCGAAAGCCAGGGGAGCAAACGGG
rnacentral:rRNA from 1 species